UGGGGAAUAUUGGGCAAUGGGCGCAAGCCUGACCCAGCAACGCCGCGUGAGGGAAGAAGGUCUUCGGAUUGUAAACCUCUGUCCUUGGGGACGAAAAAAAUGACGGUACCCAAGGAGGAAGCUCCGGCUAACUACGUGCCAGCAGCCGCGGUAAUACGUAGGGAGCGAGCGUUGUCCGGAAUGAUUGGGCGUAAAGGGCGCGUAGGCGGCCUGUUAAGUCUGGAGUGAAAUUCCUGCUUUCAAGGUAGGAAGUGCUUUGGAAACUGGCGGGCUGGAGUGCAGGAGAGGUUAGCGGAAUUCCCGGUGUAGCGGUGAAAUGCGUAGAGAUCGGGAGGAACACCAGUGGCGAAGGCGGCUAACUGGACUGUAACUGACGCUGAAGCGCGAAAGUGUGGGGAGCAAACAGG
rnacentral:rRNA from 1 species